rnacentral:rRNA from 1 species
CCCAGCAGCAAUAGCACUUUGAAUGAACCCCAGUUCCCGAUGGAUCACUAAAGUUAAGCAACGUUGCGUAUGGUUGGUAUCCGGAUGAGUAAUCAUCUGACUCACAACUGCAGUUC